UACGUAGGGAGCAAGCGUUGUCCGGAAUCAUUGGGCGUAAAGCGCGCGUAGGUGGCCUCAUAAGUCCGCUGUGAAAGUCAAAGGCUCAACCUUUGAAAGCCGGUGGAUACUUUGAGGCUAGAGUACGGAAGAGGCGAGUGGAAUUCCUGGUGUAGCGGUGGAAUGCGCAGAUAUCAGGAGGAACACCAAUAGCGAAGGCAGCUCGCUGGGACGUUACUGACACUGAGGCGCGAAAGCGUGGGGAGCGAACAGG
rnacentral:rRNA from 1 species